UCGCAAUGUCCAAACUAACGCCUAGUGC
rnacentral:sRNA from 1 species